rnacentral:rRNA from 1 species
UACGUAGGGCGCAAGCGUUGUCCGGAAUUACUGGGCGUAAAGCGCGCGCAGGCGGUUUUUCAAGUCAGUGGUGAAAGCCCGGAGCUCAACUCCGGAAAUGCCAUUGAAACUGUAAAACUUGAGGACGAGAGAGGUGAGUGGAAUUCCCAGUGUAGAGGUGAAAUUCGUAGAUAUUGGGAAGAACACCGGUGGCGAAGGCGGCUCACUGGCUCAUAUCUGACGCUCAGGCGCGACAGCGUGGGGAUCAAACAGG